AACGAACGCUGGCGGCAGGCCUAACACAUGCAAGUCGAGCGAAGCCUUCGGGCUUAGCGGCGGACGGGUGAGUAACGCGUGGGAACGUGCCCUUUGGUACGGAAUAGCCCCGGGAAACUGGGAGUAAUACCGUAUGUGGUCGAGAGACGAAAGAUUUAUCGCCAAAGGAUCGGCCCGCGUUGGAUUAGGUAGUUGGUGGGGUAAUGGCCUACCAAGCCGACGAUCCAUAGCUGGUUUGAGAGGAUGAUCAGCCACACUGGGACUGAGACACGGCCCAGACUCCUACGGGAGGCAGCAGUGGGGAAUCUUAGACAAUGGGGGAAACCCUGAUCUAGCCAUGCCGCGUGAUCGAUGAAGGCCUUAGGGUUGUAAGGAUCUUUCAGUGGGGAAGAUAAUGACUGUACCCACAGAAGAAGCCCCGGCUAACUCCGUGCCAGCAGCCGCGGUAAUAC
rnacentral:rRNA from 1 species